GGACAUGUCUUUCGGGAUAUGUUAGUGGCAGACGGGUGCGUAACACGUAGGUGACCUGCCCUGGAGUGGGGAAUAACUAUCCUAGCGGAUAGCUAAUACCGCAUAUGCUCGGUGAUUCAUUUUGCCGAGUAAAGUCGUAAGGCGCUUCAGGAUGGGCCUGCGGCGGAUUAGGUAGUUGGUGGGGUAACGGCCUACCAAGCCGAUGAUCCGUAGGGGGCGUGAGAGCGUGGCCCCCCACACUGGCACUGAGAUACGGGCCAGACUCCUACGGGAGGCAGCAGUGAGGAAUAUUGCGCAAUGGGCGAAAGCCUGACGCAGCAACGCCGCGUGAGGGACGAAGGCCUUCGGGUCGUAAACCUCUUUUCUGGGGAAAGAGCAAGGACGGUACCUCAGGAAUAAGUCUCGGCUAACUACGUGCCAGCAGCCGCGGUAAAACGUAGGAGGCGAGCGUUAUCCGGAUUUACUGGGCGUAAAGAGUUGCGUAGGUGGUUUUUUAAGUGGAGCGUGAAAGAGUAUGGCUCAACCAUACAACUGCGUUCCAAACUAUUAAACUUGAGUAUGAGAGGGGUAGAUGGAAUUUCUAGUGUAGGAGUGAAAUCCGUAGAUAUUAGAAGGAACACCGAUAGCGUAGGCAGUCUACUGGCUCAUUACUGACACUAAGGCACGAAAGCGUGGGGAGCAAACGGGAUUAGAUACCCUGGUAGUCCACGCUGUAAACGAUGUUCACUAGGUGUUGGGGGUAUUGACCCUCUCAGUGC
rnacentral:rRNA from 1 species